CUCAACUUCUAUCGAUUAUUCUUCUAAUAUUAAAUUCUUGUUGCUUGCAUAAUUGAAUGAUGAAAAUCUAUCAACUCACAUUAUGAGGGGAAAAAAUAAUGUGAAAUUAAAAAAAACAAAUUUUUAUUCUAUUACAUAAUAAUACAUUAAUCACACAAUCUUAUAAAUGAGAAAUUGAAAAUCCUAAUUUCUAAAAUAAUGAGGGAAAAAAAAAGGAAUGAAGAGUAUUUAGUUAGAGGAAAACAAAUUUACCUAUAGAAUUUAGAAAACAAAGCUUGAGGAAUGGGUUCAAUCUAUGUAAAAUUCAAGAAGAAAUUCUGAAUCGGAGUAAUAGUGUAGAUAAACCACUCUUCCUUUAAAAAACUGGAGCUUGAAAAAUGUGAGUAAAAGAGAGGCCAAUAGAUUUUAGUUUGAAGGAGAAAGAAGACCAAAAGACUUCUUUUUUCUUUUUUGGAGGAUGUUUUCUGCUACAAUUAAGAAUUAGAUGGAGAGAGAAAGUGCGAAAGUGGAUUUGUAAAUUCUAAUGGUGCACUAUAUUUUUUGUUUUUUUAAUUGGUUGUUUCUAAUCAAUGACCAAUUUUUUUUUGCUUUAAAAUAAACUUUUAAUUAGUUAAGGUUUAAAUAUUACCCAUUAAUUUUAGGAGGGCCACAAUUGAUAUGUAUGUGUGUGUGUGUGUGUG
rnacentral:misc_RNA from 1 species